rnacentral:rRNA from 1 species
UCCAUGAAGUCGGAAUCGCUAGUAAUCGCGAAUCAGAAUGUCGCGGUGAAUACGUUCCCGGGCCUUGUACACACCGCCCGUCACACCAUGGGAGUGGGUUGUACCAGAAGUAGAUAGCUUAACCUUUUGGAGGGCGUUUACCACGGUAUGAUUCAUGACUGGGGUGAAGUCGUAACAAGGUAACCGUAGGGGAACCUGCGGUUGGAUCACCUCCUUACUGA